CCUUUCCCCGCCUCCUCUAACUGAGGCGGGGAAAGGCCAGGAGCGCUGCCGAGGCGGAGGCUGGGCCAAGAUGGCCGCCCUGGCGUUAGGCCGGAGCCUCGGCCUAGAGUGAGGAGCGGCCGCCACCGCGGCUCCCGUCGCCUUCCUUGGAUUUGCUGCCAAAUCAAUGAAAGGCAGAAAGCCCCGUUAUGAUGGAUCCCUGGUUCAGCUGACCAGAAGAUUCAUGGAACUUGUUAAAGCUGCUCCAGAAGGAGUCCUGGAUUUGAAUGAAGUAUCUCGUUUGCUAGGAGUACGGAAGCGAAGAGUAUAUGAUAUUACGAAUGUCUUGGAUGGAAUACAUCUUGUUCAGAAAAGAUCCAAGAAUCAUAUCCAAUGGGUGGGUUCAGAUAUUAAGCAUAUUACCAAACAAACACCGGAGCAACAGGAGUUAAGAGAUGAACUCUGUGAUUUGACAACAAUGGAAGAAGCAUUGGAUGAAUUAAUCAAAGAUUGCUCUCAUCAGUUGUUUGACUUAACAGACGAUAAAGAAAAUGCACAAUUAGCUUAUGUGACCUAUCAAGAUAUCCAUAACAUUCAGACAUUUCAAGAACAGAUUGUGAUUGCAAUUAAAGCUCCAGAAGGGACCAAGAUGGAAGUACCCCCUCCUAAAGAAGACUGCAUAGAAGUACACGUUAGAAGCACAAAAGGCCCCAUUGACGUUUACUUAUGUGAGGUAUCGUUAGAUAAUCCAGAUGUUAACGCUUCUGAAAACACAGAUCAACUUUUAUGCGAAAGCAAAUAGGCUGACUUGCUGGAGGUAAAGUACUGAACUGAAAAGAGAUCAGUAGAGGUGUGUGAAAAGAACUAGGCUCAAGUGAAUCGUAUGAAGAGUGGGAGAAAAAGUGAAGGAUUUGAUUUCUAAACUUCAGUUUCAAGGAUUUCCCAAGGUUUAAAUCACUAUGGACCAAUGCAGAGAUAACAGGCAUUUCUCUUAUUAUUAUUAUUAUUAUUUUAAAGAAUGAAAUUGUGGACACCUCAUCUGAGAGAAUUCGCUUCCUGUUUCGGGCAUUCCCAAUGGCAUAAAAGAGAAGAAUUAAAGGAACAUAUUUCCUUUAACCCUCUAUAUCAGAUCCAAGGUUUAUUUACGCUGGAAAAAUGACAGUUAGCCCAAGACAAAUGCAGAGACAUAGACUAAGGAGUACUGCUUAAGCAAGUCAGGCUUAAGUUUUACAAAAGUGGCUUAGGCUUGUCUUCUGAUACAAGGUUCAUAAAUCCAUAUAGUACCUACUGUAAUUUAUUUCAUAUAACUGGCUUCUUUUGCAGCUCAGCGAAUAGUAGCAUUUGGGUUACUUGUACUGCUCUUUCAAAAGAUAGCUCUUUGAAACUGAAGAAAUGUAUUUACGCUUGCUUGCACAACAGUUGCUCCAAGGUUGUUUUGAACAUGGAAUAAAAUAUAAAAAUCCAAAAGGGGAGAUGUUUUAUACAAGGAAACUAGAGUAGAAGAAAUAAAGUUUCAAA